rnacentral:rRNA from 1 species
AUUGAACGCUGGCGGCAGGUCUAACACAUGCAAGUCGAACGAGUGGCGGACGGGUGAGUAAUGUCUGGGAAACUGCCUGAUGGAGGGGGAUAACUACUGGAAACGGUAGCUAAUACCGCCUACCAUCGGAUGUGCCCAGAUGGGAUUAGCUAGUAGGUGGGGUAAAGGCUCACCGAGGCGACGAUCCCUAGCUGGUCUGAGAGGAUGACCAGCUACCCUGGAACGGAGACACGGUCCAGACUCCUACGGGAGGCAGCAGUGGGGAAUAUUGCACAAUGGGCGCAAGCCUGAUGCAGCCAUGCCGCGGGUAUGAAGAAGGCCUUCGGGUUGUAAAGCACUUUCAGCGGGGAGGCGUUACCCGCAGAAGAAGCACCGGCUAACUCCGUGCCAGCCGCCGCGGUAAUAC